rnacentral:lncRNA from 1 species
CGCGGCGGCAGCGGCGGCCUGGCCCUUCCAGAGGGCCAGAGCCAGGGACAUGCGGGCGCCCGGGACUCCGCGUUCCGCGCGGCCCGGCGCCUGAGCGCCUCCGUUCCCCGUCCCGGAGCUGCCGGCGGCAUGAUCCGACACGCCGGGGCGCCCGCGCGCGGGGACCCCACGGGCCCGGAAAUUCUGGAUGCUGGUUUCUUUCUCUCGAAAGCGACCUCUGCAAAGACAAAUACCAUCCGGUGGGAAGAACUGGGAAUCCGUUGGGGAAGAGCCCCCCAACCCUCACACCCACUUGCAAGUAUCUGCCACACCCAAGAUGGCAGGGUGAAGCCGGAGAGGAGUUUCUCAGGGAGGAAGGGGAGGUGAGGGGCCAGGGCGCUGGCCUCACCGGCUUCUCAUUUUCCCCAGAGAUGACCUAGUGUGAUCCACUUCCUCUUGUCUUUUUUUGUUCAUUACUGGGUCGGUUAUUUAAACUCUCUGUAUCUCAGUUCACUUAUCAAUAAAAUGAUAAAUAAUA